AUGGUAACGCGGGGUCCGCUGUGGCCGGCUGGCUGAACAGUAGGCUAACGAGUAGGACCAUUGACUGUAGAAAACACGCAGCCUCGCUGUUUCGCGGUUGUUUUAGUGCAAUUUUGCUGCUUGAGUCAUCCAUUUGGUUGACUUUUUUUGGGGAAAAUCGACCGUAAACAAGGUGCGAAUAUCACACCGAAAACGAAGCGCCUUACAGGAGUUUCCCCACCGGAAAUAGCAUAUGCUAUGGAGGAAAGGCUAAUCAACGCCGUAGCAAACCCGCAGCUGUACGACACCAGUUCCUUUCUGUACCGAGACAGGAAUAAAAAGGACCGAGCUUGGAGGAAGAUAUGUGAAAAGAUCGGGCAACCUGCAACCAUCUUAACAUCUCCAACCAUCCCACCUCCAAGUCCUCUCAAAGGACACAACUGAAUCAAGUAACUAAUGCUUCCAGUGAAGAGCCACAGUGGGGAAAUAAUGGACCCCGAGGUGUCUGUGCUGCUGCACUGUGCACACUGGCAAGGGCUGCUCGGGUCUCAAGUACAAGUGGAGCUUUCCGGGAGGGAAAAAGGCGCACAAAAGUGGCGCGCAGACGAAGGAAAACCCUGGAAAAUAAUACUUUUACGUUUUGAAAUCUACAAAAGUUUGCACUUUGAGAAUCAACUUGUGAGAACUGCGAGUAAUGCUCAUGUAUGUGUGAAAAAAGCAGGCUCUCCAGGGCAGAAACAAUGUUCUUAUUUUUCUCCUCCUUCUCCCUGAUGCUCUUCCACUUUAAGCUGGGUCCUUUUUAUUCCUGUCUCUCUGUAAAUAGCUAUAUUUUAUAUAUUUAUGUUUAAUGUUUUUCUGUUUGAGAAUUUUAAUAUUAUUUCAAAUUUUUGUAAUGACUAAUGUCUCAGUUCUAUUACACGGCAAAUAUUGGCACACAGCUUGACAUAUGUAGAAUUUAUUUCAUGUUAUACUAAUGGAAAAAUAUACUACUAUAUAGGAACAUAGUGAAGACCAAUUAUUUAAGAGAAUAAAGAGAAGUUAGUUUAUUUUGGAGGCAAGCUCCAUUUAUUAAGAAAUUCUUUUUUAAAAAGGCAGGAAUGCUCUUUAGAUGUUUGUGGGUGGCUCAGAGCCGUUGUGGGGAAGUUACUGGGACUUCAAAUGGGCUAUUCUUUUGUCUGCCAAGACACUGCUCCCUCCUUUGAGAAGUGGGCCAUGAACUUCUCCCUCACCAGGACAGCCUCUCUGGAGGAGUUGUUGGCUGCUACACGACCCAGGCCUUUUUUG